rnacentral:rRNA from 1 species
UAAGGAAUAUUGGUCAAUGGACGCAAGUCUGAACCAGCCAUGCCGCGUGAAGGAUGAAGGUCCUCUGGAUUGUAAACUUCUUUUAUCUGGGACGAAAACGGGAUUUUUAUCUCAAUUGACGGUACCAGAGGAAUAAGCACCGGCUAACUCCGUGCCAGCAGCCGCGGUAAUACGGAGGGUGCGAGCGUUAUCCGGAUUUAUUGGGUUUAAAGGGUGCGCAGGCGGGAUGUUAAGUCGGCGGUGAAAUUUUGCAGCUCAACUGUGAAAGUGCCUUUNAUACUGGCCUCCUUGAGUGUGGAUGAAGUAGGCGGAAUUGUGGUGUAGCGGUGAAAUGCUUAGAUAUCACGAGGAACUCCGAUUGCGCAGGCAGCUUACUAAGCCACAACUGACGCUCAUGCACGAAGGCGUGGGGAUCAAACA